UACGUAGGGGGCAAGCGUUAUCCGGAAUUAUUGGGCGUAAAGAGUGCGUAGGUGGUUUUGUAAGCGCGGGGUGAAAGGCAAUGGCUCAACUAUUGUAAGCCCUGCGAACUGUGAGACUUGAGUGCAGGAGAGGAAAGCGGAAUUCCUAGUGUAGCGGUGAAAUGCGUAGAUAUUAGGAGGAACACCAGUGGCGAAGGCGGCUUUCUGGACUGUAACUGACACUGAGGCACGAAAGCGUGGGGAGCAAACAGG
rnacentral:rRNA from 1 species